rnacentral:rRNA from 1 species
UACAGAGGUCUCAAGCGUUUGUUCGGGAUUCAUUGGGCGUAAAGGGUGUGUAGGUGGCGCGCUAAGUCGGGUGUGAAAUUUCGGAGCUUAACUCCGAAACUGCAUUCGAUACUGGCGUGCUUGAGGACUGGAGAGGAGACUGGAAUUCAUGGUGUAGCAGUGAAAUGCGUAGAGAUCAUGAGGAAGACCAGUGGCGAAGGCGGGUCUCUGGACAGUUCCUGACACUGAGACACGAAGGCCAGGGGAGCAAACGGG